GACGUAGGAUGCAAGCGUUGUCCGGAUUUAUUGGGCGUAAAGAGUUCGUAGGGGGCGAAUCAUGUCUAAUGUUAAAUCAUAGAGCUUAACUCUAUACCUGCAUUAGAAACUGGUUCGCUUGAGCAAGGUAGGGGUCAGAAGAAUUCCUGGUGUAGCGGUGAAAUGCGUAGAUAUCAGGAGGAACACCGGUGGCGAAAGCGUCUGACUGGGCCUUUGCUGACGCUGAGGAACGAAAGCUAGGGGAGCAAAAGGGAUUAGAUACCCCUGUAGUCCUAGCCAUAAACGAUGGAUACUAGUUGUUGCGGGUAUCGACCCCCGCGGUGACGAAGCUAACGCAUUAAGUAUCCCGCCUGGGAAGUACGUUCGCAAGAAUGAAACUCAAAGGAAUUGACGGGGACCCGCACAAGCGGUGGAACAUGUGGUUUAAUUCGAUGCAACGCGAAAAACCUUACCUGGCCUUGACAUGUCUAGAAUCUGGUAGAGAUAUCGGAGUGCCUUCGGGAGCUAGAACACAGGUGCUGCAUGGUUGUCGUCAGCUCGUGUCGUGAGAUGUUGGGUUAAGUCCCGCAACGAGCGCAACCCUCGUUGUUAGUUGCCACCCAGCCGCAAGGUUGGAGCACUCUGACAAGACUGCCUCGGUUAACGGGGAGGAAGGUGGGGACGACGUCAAAUCAUCAUGGCCCUUACGGCCAGGGCUACACACGUGUUACAAUGGGCGCCACAACGGGAUGCAAUUGCGCAAGUAAUAGCCAACCCCUUAAAGCGCUCUCAGUUCAGAUCGUAGGCUGCAACUCGCCUAACUGAAGUCGGAAUCGCUAGUAAAUGCAGAUCAGCACGCUGCAUUGAAUACGUUCCCGGGUCU
rnacentral:rRNA from 1 species